rnacentral:rRNA from 1 species
AGUGAACGCUGGCGGUAGGCCUAACACAUGCAAGUCGAACGGCAGCACAGGAGAGCUUGCUCUCUGGGUGGCGAGUGGCGGACGGGUGAGGAAUACAUCGGAAUCUACUCUGUCGUGGGGGAUAACGUAGGGAAACUUACGCUAAUACCGCAUACGACCUACGGGUGAAAGCAGGGGACCUUCGGGCCUUGCGCGAUUGAAUGAGCCGAUGUCGGAUUAGCUAGUUGGCGGGGUAAAGGCCCACCAAGGCGACGAUCCGUAGCUGGUCUGAGAGGAUGAGCAGCGACACUGGAACUGAGAAACGGUCCAGACUCCUACGGGAGGCAGCAGUGGGGAAUAUUGGACAAUGGGCGCAAGCCUGAUCCAGCCAUACCGCGUGGGUGAAGAAGGCCUUCGGGUUGUAAAGCCCUUUUGUUGGGAAAGAAAUCCAGCUGGCUAAUACCCGGUUGGGAUGACGGUACCCAAAGAAUAAGCACCGGCUAACUUCGUGCCAGCAGCCGCCGUAA